rnacentral:lncRNA from 1 species
AGCGUAGAGGAGAGGGGUACACUCUCACAGAGCGUAGAGGACAGGGUGUAGGCCCUGGAGCGUUCCCUCAGGAUGGGGGCUCACACGGAGAAGGAGGGUUACGCGCUCGUCCUGUCUCACUGCUGCGUGUGAGUAAAGCUCUGAAGGGCCCCUGGACUGGUCACUCCCUGUGUCCGCCUGCAUCAGCGCAGAGUGACCACUGGCCAGGACUGAGGCCACAGGGCUGAGGAAGGAGUGUUCAUCCUCCCCUCCUCUUAAUCAGAGCUGUAGACUCACUGCUUCAUCAUCACCCUCCUCUUCCUCAGCUGUAGACUCACUGCACACAGACCCAGUCCAGCUGCUUCAUCACCCUCCUCUUCCUCAGAGCUGUAGACUCUUGUCUACUUGUUCCUCCUCAUCUUCCUCAGUGAGGCGGUGCAGACCGGAGUCACUGUGGUGAGUUCAGCUGGGGGCUGUGGGAUGGACACCAGCCUGUCCAUCAGCAGGCGUGUCCAGCCCCAGGACGGGUGCCCGUCCCCCUCCUUCUCCGUUAGACUGGCGAUCGGGUCAGCAGGACACGAUGAAGAAGUAAACACUCCAUUAAUAUGAUAUUGGAAUAAUUCUUUAAUAAUUACAUUGUAUAACACUGGAGGACAGAGAAGAGCUCUUUGACAAUUUCUCGGUACGGACCGCACACCAAUGGGACAGGAGACACAUCGAGAGGGAGGAGAGGUCAUGGAGAGUCUCUCGCGAACAACCACACGCACACGAGUCCGGGGUUGCUCAGCGAUACCGAGAAUCCUGCUGGUCAUAAUUUCAUCUGGGUCAGAAAGAUUCCUACUAAAAUAUUUUUUUUAACACACAGGUGCGGGAUAGCCUGUUAUUAACGAUUCUGUCUCAUCACUAGCGAUGAUGUCAUUCUGCUCAGCGAACGGGACUGGUCCCAGCAGGGGGGGGGCUGCCUGCAGGGGGCGCUGUCUGUGCCCUCACCGCCGCGAUCCAGUGAGCUGAAGGGUUCAGUGCCCGCCCGAGCGCUGGUCUACUGGACCGGGUCACGCCGGAGCGCUGGGUCACCCCGGAGCGCUGGUCUACUGGACUGGGUCACCCCCGGGCGCUGGUCUACUGGACUGGGUCACGCCCGAGCGCUGGGUCACCCCGGAGCGCUGGGUCACCCCGGAGCGCUGGUCUACUGGCCCGGGUCACGCCCGGGCGCUGGUGUCCUGGCCCGGGUCACCCCGGAGCGCUGGUCUACUGGACUGGGUCACGCCCGGGCGCUGGUGUCCUGGAGCGGGUCGGGCGCUGGUGUCCAGCAGGCCAGGACCAGGCCGCGCCCCCUGUCCGUCCGUCCAGCUCUGCUCUCUGGCUGCAGGCGGCCCGCGCUGUACACUGGAUCUUUCUGUAAUAAACUGGAGCUCUAUAUUCCUACUGGUGCUGCUCCUGUCCUCUGUUGGGGGGGACUGAGAGUGAGGUCUGGCAGCGCCCAGUGGGUUGAGCUGCUCUGUGUAUGUUGAGGUGCUCAGUGUGUAGUAGAUCCAGUGUGUUGAGGCACUCAGUGUGUCCAGUGUGCGUCAGCUCAGUAUGUCCGGUGUGUUGGGGUGCUCAGUGUGUCCAGUGUGCGUCAAGCUCAGUAUGUCCGGUGUGUUGGGGUGCUCAGUGUGUCCAGUGUGCGUUAAGCUCAGUGUGUUGGAGUGCUCAGUGUGUGUUGGGGUGCUUAAUGUGUCCAGUGUGCGUUAAGCUCAGUAUGGCCGGUGUGUUGGGGUGCUCAGUGUGUCCAGUGUAGUUUCAGACCAGACACCCAGUCUGUGAUGUAAGACUAAACCACACCCACUUCUCCACAACCAGCCAACAGCAACACAGACUUUAUUAAGGAGCUGAGCUGAACACACCCCCGCAGAGGACAGGUCCGAAGCACAGAGUCCGGGAUUCCUGUGGCACCAUCGUCCGUCUGGGCCAAGCCCGUCCGGUCCGGUCCGGUCCGGCGCCGCCUCCAGACCGGCCACCUGUCGGGACAACCGGAGCAGAACCAGUUAAAACAACAGCUCAGAACUGGACCAGUGCUCAGUCGGGGUUAAAGGUCACUAUGGCUCUGGGCUCAUGAGGACAGUAACUGGCUCAGCUCAGUCUUAGAGACCCCAGUCUUUCAGGGGCUUGGGGGUCUUCAGUCAGGGGUUAAAGGUCACUGUGGCUCUGGUCUCAGCUCAGUCCCUGAGACCCCAGUCUUUCAGGGUCCGGGGGUCUUCAGUCAGGGGUUAAAGGUCACUGUGGCUCUGGGCUCAGCUCAGUCCCUGAGACCCCAGUCCGUCAGGGUCCGGGGGUCUUCAGUCGGGGGUUAAAGGUCACUGUG